rnacentral:rRNA from 1 species
UACGUAGGGUGCAAGCGUUAAUCGGAAUUACUGGGCGUAAAGCGCACGUAGGCGGAUCGAUCAGUCAGGGGUGAAAUCCCAGGGCUCAACCCUGGAACUGCCUUUGAUACUGUCGAUCUGGAGUAUGGAAGAGGUGAGUGGAAUUCCGAGUGUAGAGGUGAAAUUCGUAGAUAUUCGGAGGAACACCAGUGGCGAAGGCGGCUCACUGGUCCAUUACUGACGCUGAGGUAGCGAAAAGCG